rnacentral:rRNA from 1 species
AUGGUUAAACUUGAAAGGCGCAUCAUGUUUCCUACGGUUUAUCGCCUCGUUGAGUUGGCAUUGCUACUACCGAUAGCGACAGUAACAGUUGAACGGGUUUUUUCAGCAAUGAAAAUCAUCAAGACCGAGUUGCAGAGCAAGAUGUCCGGUGGCUGGCUUAAUGACUUGAUGGUGUGUUACAUAGAGCGAGGGAUUUUCACAAGUCUUGAUCUUGGUAAAAUUAAGGAAGCUUUUCAAAAGAAGGGUUCCCUACUACCAUUGCACGGGUCUUCUACACGAUAUUAA